GAGGUGAAUAAACCGUUCCCAAGGUUUCUUUCUCAGCACAAAGGAAAAUCUCACUGACUUGCAUGUUCUGGUUGUGAAUUCAGGCUACAAGGGGUCAGUGCUCUAAAAUGAGUCUCUCUGGGGAGAGAGAGGAGGGGGGCCCUGCCUCUAAAAUGAGUCUCUCUGGGGAGAGAGAGGACGGGAGCCCUGCCUCUAAAAUGAGUAUCUCUGGGGAACAUGGCACCAAAUCUAAGAGUCCAAUUAAGCAGGAGAGACCAGCCUCCCCUGUACCCAGCUCUGUGUCCAUGAAGAGUGACCAGUCUAUGGGUCAUCCUAUAAGGUUUAGAUAGGGAGACUUUUCUACUGAACAAAGACCAAUCAAGCAGGAGAGACCAGCCUCCCCUGUACCCAGCUGUGUGUCCAUGAAGAGUGACCAGUCUAUGGGUCUACCUAUACUGUUUAGAAAGGGAGACUUUUCUACUGAACAAAGAAACCAACAGGAGAGAUCAGAGUCAGAGAUUCUCAGUGGUCAGUCUUCCC